AGAAUGAACGUUGGUGGCGUGGAUUAGGCAUGCAAGUCGUGCGCGAUGGCUCCCUUCGGGGAGCCGGAGAGCGGCGAACGGGGUAGUAAUGCGUCGGAACGUGCCCCGGGGCCUGGGAUAGCCGCGGGAAACUGCGGGUAAUACCGGAUGACCUCUUGGUUUGUGAUGAACCGGGAGCAAAGGUGGGAUUCCGCCCUGGGAGCGGCCGAUGUGAUACCAGCUAGUUGGUGAGG
rnacentral:rRNA from 1 species